rnacentral:rRNA from 1 species
GACGUAGGGGGCGAGCGUUGUCCGGAAUUACUGGGCGUAAAGAGCACGUAGGCGGGAACUUAAGUCAGGUGUGAAAGACCGUGGCUCAACCACGGGUAUGCAUUUGAAACUGGGUUUCUUGAGGGCAGGAGAGGAAAGCAGAAUUCCUGGUGUAGCGGUGAAAUGCGUAGAAAUCAGGAGGAAUACCAGUGGCGAAGGCGGCUUUCUGGACUGACCCUGACGCUGAGGUGCGAAAGCGUGGGUAGCAAACAGG